rnacentral:rRNA from 1 species
ACGAGAAGACCCCAUGGAGCUUUAAACCCAACAACACCCGCCCCCCUCCAAAUCCUAUUAUGUGCCCGGUGACUGUUUGUUCGGUUUUAGGUUGGGGUGACCGCGGAGUAUAAGAUAUCCUCCAUGAAAAAAAGCUAACUGCCCUUAUUAGAGAAAGACACUUCCAAAAAAUAAUAAAUUAAUUUUAAAUGAUCCGACAUUCGAUCAACGAACCAAGUUACCCUGGGGAUAACAGCGCAAUCCGUCCCGAGAGCCCCUAUCGACAGGCGGGUUUACGACCUCGAUGUUGGAUCAGGGUAUCCUAGUGGUGCAGCAGCUACUAAAGGUUCGUUUGUUCAACGAUUAA